UGAACGCUAGCGGCAGGCCUAACACAUGCAAGUCGAGGGGUAACGAUGUCUUCGGACAGGCGACGACCGGCGCACGGGUGAGUAUCGCGUUUGUAACCUACCUUUAACUGGAGAAUAGCCCGAAGAAAUUCGGAUUAAUACUCCAUAACACUAUGAUCUGGCAUCUUAUUAUAGUUAAAGCUCCGGCGGUUAAAGAUGGGCAUGCGUAACAUUAGUUUGUUGGUGAGGUAACGGCUCACCAAGACUACGAUGUUUAGGGGGUCUGAGAGGAUGGUCCCCCACACUGGUACUGAGACACGGACCAGACUCCUACGGGAGGCAGCAGUGAGGAAUAUUGGUCAAUGGGCGCAAGCCUGAACCAGCCAUGCCGCGUGAAGGAUGACAGCGCUAUGCGUUGUAAACUUCUUUUGUACAGGAAGAAACACUCUUACGUGUAAGAGCUUGACGGUACUGUACGAAUAAGCAUCGGCUAACUCC
rnacentral:rRNA from 1 species